rnacentral:rRNA from 1 species
UACGUAGGGGGCAAGCGUUGUCCGGAUUUAUUGGGCGUAAAGAGCGUGUAGGCGCCAGACAGGCUCGUUGUGAAAACUCGAGGCUCAACCUCGAGAUGUCGAUGGAAACCGUCUGGCUAGAGUCCGGAAGAGGAGUGUGGAAUUCCUGGUGUAGCGGUGAAAUGCGCAGAUAUCAGGAAGAACACCUAUGGCGAAGGCAGCACUCUGGGACGGUACUGACGCUGAGACGCGAAAGCGUGGGGAGCGAACAGG